rnacentral:rRNA from 1 species
CCUACGGGGGGCUGCAGUGGGGAAUAUUGGACAAUGGGGGGAACCCUGAUCCAGCCAUGCCGCGUGUGUGAAGAAGGCCCUCGGGUUGUAAAGCACUUUCAGUGAGGAAGAACGCCUGGUGGUUAAUACCCAUCAGGAAAGACAUCACUCACAGAAGAAGCACCGGCUAACUCCGUGCCAGCAGCCGCGGUAAUACGGAGGGUGCGAGCGUUAAUCGGAAUUACUGGGCGUAAAGCGCGCGUAGGUGACUUGAUAAGCCGGUUGUGAAAGCCCCGGGCUCAACCUGGGAACGGCAUCCGGAACUGUCAAGCUAGAGUGCAGGAGAGGAAGGUAGAAGUCCCGGUGUAGCGGUGAAAUGCGUAGAGAUCGGGAGGAAUACCAGUGGCGAAGGCGGCCUUCUGGACUGACACUGACACUGAGGUGCGAAAGCGUGGGUAGCAAACAGGAUUAGAUACCCCUGUAGUC